AUUUCAUUAGCUUGAGGAUCUGGGUCCACCUCCCACCCGUGUUUAUCGUACCUUGUUGCUUCGGCGGGCCCGCCUCACGGCCGCCGGGGGGCAUCCGCCCCCGGGCCCGCGCCCGCCGAAGACACACAAACGAACUCUUGUCUGAAGAUUGCAGUCUGAGUACUUGACUAAAUCAGUUAAAACUUUCAACAACGGAUCUCUUGGUUCCGGCAUCGAUGAAGAACGCAGCGAAAUGCGAUAAGUAAUGUGAAUUGCAGAAUUCAGUGAAUCAUCGAGUCUUUGAACGCACAUUGCGCCCCCUGGUAUUCCGGGGGGCAUGCCUGUCCGAGCGUCAUUGCUGCCCUCAAGCACGGCUUGUGUGUUGGGCUCUCGCCCCCCGCUUCCGGGGGGCGGGCCCGAAAGGCAGCGGCGGCACCGCGUCCGGUCCUCGAGCGUAUGGGGCUUCGUCACCCGCUCUGUAGGCCCGGCCGGCGCCCGCCGGCGAACACCAUCAAUCUUAACCAGGUUGACCUCGGAUCAGGUAGGGAUACCCGCUGAACUUAAGCAUAUCAAUAAGCGGAGGAA
rnacentral:rRNA from 1 species